UAAUUCAACAUGAUGAUAACAUAGUUCAACUGAACGAAUUAUGUCGAUUUACUAUAUUCUUUCGCUCCUAUCUGAUCAAACUA
rnacentral:snoRNA from 1 species